ACUUGGUAUUCUCAUCUUCCAUACUUCUUACAAAGUUUGGUUUAUUCUCAUAUCUCACAAUUUCUCCCAUGCUCAAAGUAGCUACUUUUUGGGCAAUCUUAUCUGCUGAAAAAUUUGCUUCUCUAUAAGCAUGCCUGAAAUAUACCCUUCUCAGAUGAGAAAUUACUUUCUUCCAUAUGUUAAGAAUCAUCCAAGAAAUUUUAUUACCUGUGAAAGCCUUCAAAAAAGCCUGAGAAUCUAGACUGAAACAUACAUUCAAGAAUGACUUAGAUACAGCCCAUUCACCUGCCAUUACCAAAGUCAUCAUCUCUGCUACAAAAUUUGGUGCAACCAUUGCACCCACACAUUCACUUUCACUAUAAUGAGAAAACCUUUCUGUGUAGAUACCAAACGAAGAGGAAACCAUUCGGAUACCACUCAUCAAAUAAGGUGGGUUGUUUAGUGUUCUCUAUUGGUCUUGUCCCUAAACCGGUGGGUUGUUUAGUGUUCUCUAUUGGUCGUCCCUAAACCGAUUGAAGAGAAAUUCAUUUUCUCUUUUAUUCUUCUCUUUCCUUCUUCUUCUUUUCCUUCAUCUCUUCUUUGCUUUCUCUGUUCUUCAGUCGAGUAACACUUUUAAGAGUAAAUUCAAGAAAAUUCGAUCGGUGAUGUUGUUUAUAUGAAGGAAGUGUUCAUGUAUCAGGGAAUUAAGAAGAAGAAAGUGCUGAUGUGAAUCGUGAUGAAGAGUAGAUAGGAAAUAUUAGGGUUUCAUCUGAUUUGAAGUUGUCGGGAGUCAAUUAAGUUUAUGGGGUCGAUGCUCGAUGAAACUUAAGAGGGGUUGUUGUUGAAUUAUCGAAUGGAGUCUAUUCUGAUGAAGAAUCACUAAACCAGGUAAAUUAGGGUUCUUCAAUUUGAAUUUGUUUCUUGUAAAUUGGAUAAUAGAUGAUAAAUGUUAGAUGGGUCUGUUUAGAUUGAAGAUGAAUCAAUUAUAUGGAGUUUUAAUUUCAGCUUAAGUGUGAAUUUGGGUUUGCCCUGUUCUUCCCCAAUUUGAAAUUAGGGUUCGUGGAUUCUUAUUGAAUUAGUUGUUGAUUGAUUUAGAAAGAUGGGUUUGUUUUUAAUUAGUGUUUGAUGGAGUUGUGGGGUUGUUCUGAAGAAGAAAUGGUGAAUUAAAGAAUGAAGUUAGGGUUUCUGAGAUUUGGAAUCGGUUUGAGAGAAUUUCUAAAGAAGGAUUAGAAGAUGAAGCUGUUGGUUUAGGGGAUUGAAUUUAAUGAUGGUUAUGUUGUUAAUUGAAGUUUAAUUGGAUGUCUUGGGGCUGUGUUGGUAGUGAAUCGAAGAACUAAGGUUUGAAGCUUUUGAAAUGGAGGUUUAAUGGUUUAUGAAUUAAGAUGAGGUGUUGAACCAGAUCAAGCCAAAGAAGAGGUUAACUCAUUUGCUUCAAUAACUCUGUUUUGAGGUAAAUGUUAUUAACAAUAAACUUAGUAAAGUUAUUUGAUUCUUAUAGUGAAGUUAUGAGAUUGUUAAUUGGAUUAAGAAUUUAAAUGUUGUAAGAGUUGAGAUUGAUUUGAGUGUUGAUGUUGCUGUGGUAGCUACUGUGAUGUUUUUGAAUACAUGGAAAGGUUUGUUGUAGAGAAAGGGUAAUGGUUCUGUUGAGUUGAAGUUGUUGGUGUGACAUCAAAGUCACAAUUGCUGUGACUUAUAGAUGUUAAACUGAAUGUGUCGUGGUUGGGGAUUGCAGGUGUUGUUGUUGAGAGUAUAGUUGAGCUGUAUAGGUUAGUUAUGGCAGUGAUGUUUGUUAGAAGUGGUGUUGAACUAAGAUCAGUUGAAGUAGUCUUUAACUUGGCCGCAACAGAUGGAAUAUAUGUAGAGCGAGUGUUGCUUGUACUGCAAUUGCAGUAAGUUAUUAACAACGAUCGAUUCAAAGGAUGAAUCAGUGGAUCGUGAAUCUCGAGGUAGGCGUGGCUUGUCAGCAAAAGAGUUUCAGAGACAGAUCAAAUUGUGCACGUGACGAUAAAGCUUCGAGAAGUUGAUUACAUUAGUUAGUUAGCUUCCGCUAUAUUUAUUUUUGUAUUUAUAUUUCUGUUUGUAAAUUAACUCACAAGUAUAUAUGUAUCAUCUGAGAGGAGUUCUUGUAUAUAUAUUUCUGAGCGGGGCUAGUUUUUGGGUUAAAUUUUAUAGCAGUUUUCUUAAUUGCUUGCUUAAGUAUAUGUUUUGGAUC